rnacentral:rRNA from 1 species
UACAGAGGGUGCGAGCGUUAAUCGGAAUUACUGGGCGUAAAGCGUGCGUAGACGGUAGCGUAAGUCAGAUGUGAAAGCCCCGGGCUCAACCUGGGAAUUGCAUUUGAGACUGCUCUGCUUGGGUGCGGAAGAGGGAAGCGGAAUUUCCGGUGUAGCGGUGAAAUGCGUAGAUAUCGUCUGGAACGCCGAAGGUGAAAACAGCUCGCUGGGCUGCGCUGACGCUGAGACACGAAAGCCAGGGGAGCGAACGGG